CAGCCGCCGCGGUAAUACGUAGGGUGCGAGCGUUAAUCGGAAUUACUGGGCGUAAGGCGUGCGCAGGCGGUUGUGUAAGACAGGUGUGAAAUCCCCGGGCUUAACCUGGGAACUGCGCUUGUGACUGCACAGCUAGAGUAUGGCAGAGGGGGGUGGAAUUCCACGUGUAGCAGUGAAAUGCGUAGAGAUGUGGAGGAACACCGAUGGCGAAGGCAGCCCCCUGGGCCAAUACUGACGCUCAUGCACGAAAGCGUGGGGAGCAAACAGGAUUAGAUACCCGUGUAGUCCCUGUCUCUUAUAC
rnacentral:rRNA from 1 species